GACGUAGGGCGCGAGCGUUGUCCGGAUUUAUUGGGCGUAAAGAGCUCGUAGGCGGCUUGUCGCGUCUGCUGUGAAAUUUCGGGGCUCAACCCCGAACUUGCAGUGGGUACGGGCAGACUAGAGUGUGGUAGGGGAGACUGGAAUUCCUGGUGUAGCGGUGAAAUGCGCAGAUAUCAGGAGGAACACCGAUGGCGAAGGCAGGUCUCUGGGCCACUACUGACGCUGAGAAGCGAAAGCAUGGGGAGCGAACAGG
rnacentral:rRNA from 1 species